rnacentral:rRNA from 1 species
AUUAAUAAUUAAUAUAUUUAAUAAAAAUAAUUUUAAUUUAAUAAAUAUUUUAGUGGGGGUUAAAGUAUUUUUUAAAGAAAAAAUUUUUAAAUUUAUAGUUAAUUAGUAUUGUGAAAGAAUUUUGAAAUAUUAUGAAAAAUAAAAUUUUUAGAAAGUAAUUUUUAUUUAUUGUAUCUUGUGUAUCAGAGUUUAUUAAAAAUUUUUAAUUUAUAAAUUAAUUUCUCGAAUUUAAAAGAGUUAAAUAAUUAUUAAAGUUAUUGUAGCAAAAUUAUUUUAAAUAAUUAUUUAGAAAUGAAAUGUUAAUCGUUUUUAAAUAUAUCUAGUUUUUAUAGAAAAAAAUUUAAUUUUAAAUUUAAAAAUUAUUUAAUUAAUUUAUUAAUUAAAUAAUUAUUUUAAUUUUAUAAUUUAAGGGAUAAGCUUUAAAUUAAAAUUUUAUAAUAUUAAAUUUUUAUUUUGAAAAUUUUAUAAUUUAUAUUGUUAAUAAAUUUUAUUUUGUUAUAAAUAAUUUCAUUUUUUUAAAAUUUAAAUUUUAUUUAAUUUUUUAUAUAAAAUUUAUUUAUAAUUAUAUAAAGUUAAUUAUAAUGAUAAAAUUAGUAUAUUAUUUAAUAUUAAAUUAAAAUUAAUUUUUGAUUAAUAAUUAAAUUAAUUAAAAGGAAUUCGGCAAAUAUUUAUUUUCACUUGUUUAUCAAAAACAUGUCUUUUUGUUAUUUAAUUUAAAGUCUAAUCUGCCCACUGAUUUAUAAAAAUUGAAGGGCUGCAGUAUAUUGACUGUACAAAGGUAGCAUAAUCAUUAGUCUCUUAAUUGGUGACUUGUAUGAAAGAUUGGAUGAAAAAUAUACUGUCUCUUAAUUAAUAUAUAGAAUUUAAUUUUUUAUUUAAAAAGUUAAAAUAAUUUAAAAAGACGAGAAGACCCUAUAGAGUUUAAUAAAUUAUUUUAUGAAAGUUUUAUUUAUAAUUACUAAUAAUUUUAUAAAUUUAUUUAUUUUGUUGGGGUGAUAAAAAAAUAAAUUUAACUUUUUUUAAGUAAUUUACAUGAAUAAGUGAUUAAU